rnacentral:rRNA from 1 species
AACGAACGCUGGCGGCAUGCCUAACACAUGCAAGUCGAACGAGACCUUCGGGUCUAGUGGCGCACGGGUGCGUCACGCGUGGGAACCUGCCCUUAGGUUCGGAAUAACUCCCCGAAAGGGGUGCUAAUACCGGAUAAUGUCUUCGGACCAAAGAUUUAUCGCCUUUGGAUGGGCCCGCGUUGGAUUAGCUAGUUGGUAGGGUAAAAGCCUACCAAGGCGACGAUCCAUAGCUGGUCUGAGAGGAUGAUCAGCCACACUGGGACUAGGACACGGCCCAGAAUCCUACGGGAGGCAGCAGUGGGGAAUAUUGGAAAAUGGGCGGAAGGCUGAUCCAGCAAUGCCGCGUGAGUGAUGAAGGCCUUAGGGUUGUAAAGCUCUUUUACACGGGAUGAUAAUGACAGUACCGGGAGAAUAAGCACCGGCUAACUCCGUG